rnacentral:rRNA from 1 species
GGUCGGUUUGGCCGGAUUACACACAGGUGUUGCAUGGCUGUCGUCAGCUCGUGUCGUGAGAUGUUGGGUUAAGUCCCGCAACGAGCGCAACCCUCAUCCUUAGUUACCAUCGGGUUAUGCUGGGGACUUUAAGGAAACUGCCUGUGAUAAACUGGAGGAAGGUGGGGAUGAUGUCAAGUCAUCAUGGCCCUUAUGGAGUGGGCUACACACGUGCUACAAUGGUGAUUACAAUGGGCUGCAAGGUCGCAAGGCUGAGCUAAUCCUAAAAAAUCAUCUCAGUUCGGAUUGUUCUCUGCAACCCGAGAGCAUGAAGUUGGAAUUGCUAAUAAUCGUGAAUCAGCAUGCCACGGUGAAUACGUUCUCGGGUCUUGUACACACUGCCCGUCACGCCAUGGUAAUUGGUUUCACUCGAAGCU